ACAAAAGGGGCAGCAGUGUGCCCCGGACCCCCCAGGGUGGCUUUUGUUCUGUGUGUGUCACUACGGUGGUUUGAAGUGCGUCUUGAUCUCAGCGGGAACCGUCUGAACGUAGUUUUCAUGUGUCCAGUGUCUGGAUCUGUAGCUUCAGCUGCUCACUAGUCCUCAACAGCGUAAAUAACGGCAGCCUGGCUCAUGUCUUCAGCGGCGUGCAUGUGCGUCAGCCUCAGACACUUUAUGUGCAAUCUCUAAAAUAGCACUAGGGGGCGCAGUGACUGUGGUCUGUAACCCCAGAGCACCGCAGGGGGUCUACAGCCCCUCUGGACGUUUGCUUUACCUGUGGCUGCUGAGGGAUGUUAAAUCCAGGGUCUCUGGGUCCGACGCUAACGAAGCG